rnacentral:rRNA from 1 species
ACAUAACUGAUGCCUCCGCGUAUCGACUUUGUGCGCAUUUUAGCUAUUAUGUGUUCUUUUAAUUAAAAUGAUUCUUUUUAAGAUUCAUCUAUUAAAAAUUUGCUUCGGCAUAAUUUUUUUUGAUGAUCUUGUUACUUUGAGUAAAUUAGAGUGUUCAAAGCAAACAGAUAUAGCAUUUGUGCGUUUGAAUACUACAGCAUGGAAUAACAAAAUUGAACAAGUCAGAAUUUUUUUGUUCUUUUUUCUUAUUUUGGCUUAGUUACGAUUAAUAGGAGUAGCUUGGGGGCAUUUGUAUUCAGAUGUCAGAGGUGAAAUUCUUAGAUUUUCUGGAGACAAACAACUGCGAAAGCAUUUGCCUAAAAUACUUCCAUUAAUCAAGAACGAAAGUUAAGGGAGUGAAGACGAUCAGAUACCGUCGUAAUCUUAACCAUAAACUAUGCCGACUAGGCUUUGGAUGAAAGAUUUUAAAAUAAGAGUUUUUCUUUUCUCUCCGGAGAUUAGAACUCUUAGAUUGCUUCCUUCAGUGCCUUAUGAGAAAUCAAAGUCUUUGGGUUCUGGGGCGAGUAUUCGCGCAAGCGAGAAAGUUAAAAGAAUUGACGGAAGGGCACCACCAGGCGUGGAGCUUGCGGCUUAAUUUGACUCAACACGGGAAAACUCACUAGUUUAAGACAAGAGUAGGAUUGACAGAUUAAUAGCUCUUUCUUGAUUUCUUGGAUGGUGAUGCAUGGCCGUUUUUAGUUCGUGAAUAUGAUUUGUCUGGUUAAUUCCGAUAACGAACGAGAUCUUAACCUGCUAAUUAGCGGCAAAUACGAUAUAUUCUUAUGUAGAAUUGAAUAUAGUGGAUUUGUUAGAUUUUGAAGAAAAUAUUGGAAUUACGUUAAAUGUGAUUCCUUUCCCUUUUCUACUUAAUUUACAUUUCCAUCUAUUUCUUUUUUGCGUAUGAACGUAUUUGCUUGAUUGUAAAGCUUCUUAGAGGAACGAUGUGUG